AGCACAAACUUAAGAGAAAGACGAAGAUGAAACUUGUAACGUGCGUUUUUCUUUUCACCGUGUUAUUUCUACUACAGUCAACCAACGCCAUUUACCUGUUAACAACAUUGAAUGGCUACAAUUUGGGACGAUAUGGUUUAUUGGGACGUGGGGUAUACGAUACCGCAUACUAUGGCCGUGGCUACCUUCCACCUCCCCCUUUCCCCCUUAAAACAUAAAACAUUCCCUUUACUUUAUUUCUUAUAUUAAUAAGCUUGGAUAUGUGUAAUGUUAAAUGAGUUAAUUAUUUUAUUUUUGGCAAAUUAAAGUAUGUUUUGUCCAGUGCAGGUAUUAUUUAAACUAGAAUUUAUUCAAGGUUUUUUUUAGUACUAUUGAGUACCAACUAUAAUCAUGUUCUUUAAAACUAAGCAAAGAAGAAUUGAUAAUAAAAAGUUAGUAAUAAGUUAAAAUAU